GAUGAACGCUGGCGGCGUGCUUAACACAUGCAAGUCGAACGGAAAGGCCAGUGCUUGCACUGGUACUCGAGUGGCGAACGGGUGAGUAACACGUGGGUGAUCCGCCCUGCACUUCGGGAUAAGCCUGGGAAACUGGGUCUAAUACCGGAUAGGACAAUGGUUUGGAUGCCGUUGUGGAAAGUUUUUUCGGUGUGGGAUGAGCUCGCGGCCUAUCAGCUUGUUGGUGGGGUAAUGGCCUACCAAGGCGUCGACGGGUAGCCGGCCUGAGAGGGUGUACGGCCACAUUGGGACUGAGAUACGGCCCAGACUCCGACGGGAGGCAGCAGUGGGGAAUAUUGCACAAUGGGCGCAAGCCUGAGGCAGCGACGCCGCGUGGGGGAUGACGGCCUUCGGGUUGUAAACUCCUUUCGCUAGGGACGAAGCGUAUUUGUGACGGUACCUGGAGAAGAAGCACCGGCUAACUACGUG
rnacentral:rRNA from 1 species